UGGAUUUCUGAUUAUCCUAUAUGCAUGCAAGUGAUUUUAUUGUGAUUUGUGCAUACAUCCUUGAAGAUACAUAGGUGCAAUGGAGUUUAGUUAUAUCAUGUUGUUCUUAGAUGAUAUCAUUGAAGUGGUGUGACACUAAUUCUUGGAUGAUACUGAUUAAAGUGGUGUCGCAGUGGCGAUAGGAAUAAAAUUCAAAUUUGUAAUUUCUGACACUCACCUUAUUUUAAGCUUUCAUCUUCUAACGCGUGAACUAUAACAAUAGACACGUGUAGUGCCU
rnacentral:lncRNA from 1 species